UAAAGCGUCAAUUAUGCUUUUUACCUCAGUGUACGGAACGCGUCGUAGUUGACAAAACGCGAAAAAAGCGACAUUUCUGUCAGUUAAAAUAUAUUCACAAACUAACUUUAGAUUAAAAAAGCACCUUAAAUAUACAAAUACGUUCUUAAAAUGAAGAUUUAUCUCAGCUAUCUCCGAUGAACAGUUAAACAACACUUUUAACAACAAGUACGCUUGGCAGAUGUAAAAAGUUUCUCACGCGCAGAGCACUGGGCGGGAAACAGAUGUACCGCGCACGCGCACAAAUCCACACAACACCUUUUUCGUUCGUGGCUACUGAAUAUUCCCUAGAAAUGUUUGUCUCUGCGUUGAAUAACUUGAAAUGAUUCGUAAUGGUGUCUUAAAUGUCCUUGGGCGUCCAAAAGACGCCAUUUUUACUGUGUGCAGCCAUAAAAUAAAUGAUUUCCGUAGCGUCUUUAGCCUAAAACCAUAUUGUGUUAUACUUCCUGUUUCUUCAUCUUCAAGAAUCAAGGACUUCAGCUAGGCCCAGAGCACAUCCUUGGUGUGUGUGUGGGUGUGUGUCAGUGGCCGGUCAGUCAUUCAGGCUGGAUCUGCUGUCACCUCGCAUCAGACUCACUCUCUCUGACAUGCAGUAUUCAAAACAGGGCGUCUGGACAAUGGCCCGAGCUGUCAGAGGAGAUGGCAGUGUUCGCUGGGAGGGAGACAGCGACGGGGGUCACUGAAAAUGUUCUCCCACUCCACCUCCCCUCCCCACCCAGACCCCCUCUUUGCCAGGGCUAUGUGUGCUGAUCUGAAGUGCCUACCAUCCUCCAUCGUCUCCAACUGAAGAUUACACACCUGUCUGGCAUGCGCGAGCAGCCAGGGACAGGGACAGAGGCAGAGUCAUGCGGAUGGCAGCCAGCCCUGCUUCCCUGUCCCAGACCGCUCUGAUGUCAGCUGGCUGUGAAAGGGAAGGGGCCUUGUACUGACCAGAGACUGUGAUUAAGCUUGAACUGGGAUGUGGCCAGAGCUCUGGACCCACGCCACGCUGCCCUUGUCUGCGCGAGCCACCCCUCCAAGAUUCUCCCGCCCUGCUCCAACAAGAAAUAUCUUCGAUAAGAUCUGUAAGGAAGUGAGGAAAACCACAAAGACGGCAUUAUCUGUUCACAACUGGCAAAGCUGGUGCAGUGAAACGGCUGCCAUUGGGCUUCAGGGUCAGAUACCAUGCCAGCAUCACCAAUCCUACUACUGUUGAUUAGCUGAACGAAUAAGGAAUAUCACCUUAUUUGAUCCUGUGAUCGUGAGGCGCAAAAAUCAACAUCCUCAUCCUCCCAGUCUCCAGUGAUAAUCUCACUGGGCUUGCCUUUCCCGAAUCAAUGGUCAAGAAGCUACAUUAACUUGGUUCCAGACAAAAAGUCAAGGCCCAAAUAUGACAGUUGCCCAAGGCCAAGGUGGGCACUCGGCCAGUGCCGCUACUGCGAAAGGGUAGCAGUCAGAACAUAUCAGGAGUGAGUGGACACUUCAAAUGGCAUUAAAACUAAAGCGUAUACAAGUUGUUGGCAUCCUCUCAACUCUGUGACAGUGUCAAACAUAUUCGCAAAGAUGAGAUUGUAAAAUAAAGGCGCUGUUUUUUACGCUGCAAUAAAGACUGCAGAAAGUUAA